GAUGAACGCUGGCGGCGUGGUUAAGACAUGCAAGUCGAACGGUUUUUCAGGUGUAGCAAUACAUCUGAAAAGCAGUGGCGAACGGGUGCGUAACACGUGAACAAUCUACCUUCAAAUGGGGAAUAGCUCGCCGAAAGGCGAAUUAAUACCGCAUAUGGUUGCCUCUCGCAUGAGAGGCAUACCAAAGUCAGGGACCGCAAGGCCUGACGUUAGAAGAGGAGUUGGCGGCCUAUCAGCUAGUUGGCGAGGUAACGGCUCACCAAGGCUAAGACGGGUAGGUUGUAUGAGAGUAUGAUCAGCCACAAUGGAAAUGAGAAACGGUCCAAAAACCUACGGGUGGCAUCAGUUUCGAAUCAUUCACAAUGGGCGAAAGCCUGAUGGUGCGACGCCGCGUGAGGGAUGAAGGUCUUCGGAUUGUAAACCUCUGUCACCGGGGAAGAAACGCUUCAAGUUAAUAGCUUGAAGCCUGACUUAACCCGGAGAGGAAGCAGUGGCUAACUCUGUGCCAGCAGCCGCCGUAA
rnacentral:rRNA from 1 species